AGAGUUUGAUCCUGGCUCAGAACGAACGCUGGCGGCAUGCCUAAUACAUGCAAGUCGAACGCUCCUAGCAAUAGGGGAGUGGCGGACGGGUGAGUAACGCGUGGGAACCUGCCCUUGAGUGCGGGAUAACCGAGGGAAACUUCGGCUAAUACCGCAUGGUCCUCCUUCGGGAGGGAAAGAUUUAUCGCUCGAGGAGGGGC
rnacentral:rRNA from 1 species